rnacentral:rRNA from 1 species
AUGGGCGCCCGGUCCAACGUACGCCCUCGCCCAUGUUCGCCGGCAUGCAGUACCCUCCAUACACGUACUCGCCGGCGGCCUACGCAGCCUCCCCGAUGCCACCUCUCCGCCGCGGCCAGCUGCUCUACUCGCAAGCCUCCUCGUCGCAUCUUGGCGACGCUGACGCGACGGAGGCCGACAUGGAAGACAUCGUCGCAGCCGGCUCGGCUGCCGCCGCCGCUUCUCCCGGGUUCACUACACAAGACGGCUCGAUUGAUCUCGGCGAAAUGGACGGCGAGCUCGACUACGGGGAGGAAGAGCCAUAGGAGCAGGAGGAGAGGUGUCGGCGCAGACGAGGAAAGGGAAGAAGAAGAAGAAAUGAGCGGCCAAGACCGGCGAGCCGCGCAUCAAGUGGGCGUUCAAGGAAGAUUAGUGCCUCGCCGAAGCGUGGAAAGUCGUCUGCCUCGACCCGAUCACCGGCACGAACCAGAACAUCGACACGUAUUGAUACCGCAUCAAGGCCGAGUUUGA